rnacentral:rRNA from 1 species
CUAGCGACUUCAGAGUUUGAUCCUGGCUCAGGAUGAACGCUGGCGGCGUGCAUAACACAUUCAAGUCGAACGGACGAGACCCUUCGGGGUCAAGUUAGUGGCGGACGGGUGAGUAACGCGUGAGCAACCUGCCUUUCAAGACGGGAUAACACAGGGAAACUUGUGCUAAUACCGUAUAACAUACUUUUAAUGCAUGUUUUAAGUAUCAAAGGGGCAACCCGAUGAAAGAUGGGCUCGCGUCUGAUUAGGUAGUUGGUGUAGGUAACGGCUCACCAAGCCGACGAUCAGUAGCCGGACUGAGAGGUUGAACGGCCACAUUGGAACUGAGAAACGGUCCAG